ensembl:lncRNA
CUAACGUCAUCACGCAAUGCAAAUUACACACGCAUGCGCUGUUACAACGUUAAUGCGCGCUAAAGACAUACCUUACGUCACUCUGUGCGGUAAACACAUACGUGACGUACGUACGUGACGUCACCGCGCUACAGUCUGCAGUGAGGGGUGUCUCGUAUUUUCAGCAUCAUGACUCCAGUCUUCAGUGUCACAUGAUCUUCAGAAAUCAUUCUAAUAUGAUGAUUUGCUGCUCAAGAAACAUUUCUGAUUAUUGCCAAUGUUGUAAACAUUUAUGUUGCUCAAUAUUUUUGGGAAUAUUUGAAAUUGUUCUUUGUGUCAGAGCGCUGUAGUUCAUCAGAAAUAGAGCAGGCAUCAGUUUACUGUCAUGGAUUUGUGGCGCUGCAUCCGCUGAUAGAACAUCACUGGGUUCUAUUUGCUUUUCUUGCGCCGCUCGUGUCUGGUGUAGACACAAUGUUUUGGUAUUUGUGAAUCUUAAGUCUAUUCAUUAUCUGCUUUACAUCUACCUGGCACUGGAAGACCUUUCACACACUUGUCACUUAUAUGCUUAGAGCAGAACCAUCGAUCAUUUAUAAGUUAUUUUGUCAGCAGGUGACUCUGCAUAUAUGACACUUUCUCUGGUAUGCAGAUGGUUUAGAGAUGUGGUCACUCAAGAAGUUUUUCGGAAAGCGGCACACUUUGCCUGGCUAGACAGUUGUGGCCAACUGGAAGAAUUUUACUCCUGUCUACCUGAUCGAGUUCAGACGUAUGAACAUCACUGCACUGUAAAACCUGACAAGUCACAGUAACUCAAACCGUUUGAGUAAACAGAUUGCCUUUACUUAAACCAUGUAAGUUUUAAAACUUUGCAAUUAUGUAAUCAAGUGAUUAAUUAAGUGCUGAUUGAGCUUUAGUGAUGAACAGCUGCUGUUAACAAACAGCAUCACCAGCUCCACUUAUUAAUAACCAGACUGACUUUAUUUCUGUCAGACGUCUACAGAAGAUCUUAUUGAGAAUUAACUAAGGUUUAGAUGUUGAUUUAUUGUUUCAUUUGAAGUAACCAUGUUAGAGAUCAGUGUUUGCUUUAGUUGGGCUCUUGACCCUUGAUUUCUG